AUUGAACGCUGGCGGCAUGCUUUACACAUGCAAGUCGAACGGCAGCGCGGGCUUCGGCCUGGCGGCGAGUGGCGAACGGGUGAGUAAUGCAUCGGAACGUGCCCAGUAGUGGGGGAUAGCCCGGCGAAAGCCGGAUUAAUACCGCAUACGACCUGAGGGUGAAAGCGGGGGACCGAAAGGCCUCGCGCUAUUGGAGCGGCCGAUGUCGGAUUAGCUAGUUGGUGGGGUAAAGGCUUACCAAGGCGACGAUCCGUAGCUGGUCUGAGAGGACGACCAGCCACACUGGGACUGAGACACGGCCCAGACUCCCACGGGAGGCAGCAGUGGGGAAUUUUGGACAAUGGGGGCAACCCUGAUCCAGCCAUGCCGCGUGCGGGAAGAAGGCCUUCGGGUUGUAAACCGCUUUUGUUCGGGAAGAAAUCCUCUGGGCUAAUACCCCGGGGGGAUGACGGUACCGGAAGAAUAAGCACCGGCUAACUACGUG
rnacentral:rRNA from 1 species